GACGAACGCUGGCGGCGUGCUUAACACAUGCAAGUCGAACGAAGAGCGAUGGAAGCUUGCUUCUAUCAAUCUUAGUGGCGAACGGGUGAGUAACGCGUAAUCAACCUGCCCUUCAGAGGGGGACAACAGUUGGAAACGACUGCUAAUACCGCAUACGAUCUAACCUCGGCAUCGAGGAAAGAUGAAAGGUGGCCUCUAUGUAUAAGCUAUCACUGAAGGAGGGGAUUGCGUCUGAUUAGCUAGUUGGAGGGGUAACGGCCCACCAAGGCGAUGAUCAGUAGCCGGUCUGAGAGGAUGAACGGCCACAUUGGGACUGAGACACGGCCCAGACUCCUACGGGAGGCAGCAGUGGGGAAUCUUCCGCAAUGGACGAAAGUCUGACGGAGCAACGCCGCGUGAGUGAUGACGGCCUUCGGGUUGUAAAGCUCUGUUAAUCGGGACGAAAGGCCUUCUUGCGAAUAGUGAGAAGGAUUGACGGUACCGGAAUAGAAAGCCGCGGCUAACUACGUG
rnacentral:rRNA from 1 species